GUGGGGAAUAUUGGACAAUGGGCGAAAGCCUGAUCCAGCCAUGCCGCGUGUGUGAAGAAGGUCUUCGGAUUGUAAAGCACUUUAAGUUGGGAGGAAGGGCAGUAAGUUAAUACCUUGCUGUUUUGACGUUACCGACAGAAUAAGCACCGGCUAACUUCGUGCCAGCAGCCGCGGUAAUACGAAGGGUGCAAGCGUUAAUCGGAAUUACUGGGCGUAAAGCGCGCGUAGGUGGUUCAGCAAGUUGAAGGUGAAAUCCCCGGGCUCAACCUGGGAACUGCCUCCAAAACUACUGAGCUAGAGUACGGUAGAGGGUAGUGGAAUUUCCUGUGUAGCGGUGAAAUGCGUAGAUAUAGGAAGGAACACCAGUGGCGAAGGCGACUACCUGGACUGAUACUGACACUGAGGUGCGAAAGCGUGGGGAGCAAACAGGAUUAGAUACCCGAGUA
rnacentral:rRNA from 1 species